CGUUGAAUUCGGGAGAGAAUGGGGUCGUAAAGGGGGCGGUGGGAUCUAAAGGUCCCGCUUCGUUUGUUGCAACGCGUGCCGGUUUUAAUUGGGUGCCUAAGGCCGGCUCGCUGCCCCAGGCCGGGCUUGCCACCUCUGGAGUGCAAUGCGUUUUCCAAUCUGGAUUGGUAGCGACCGUGAAUCGAGGUGACAUGGGUGGGAUUGAAACACGCGAGACUUCUGGUAUGAAGGGCGUGCACUGUUUGCAACCGAUACUAGUAGGGGAGCGCUUUUGAAAGGGGUGGGUGGGUGUGUAGUAGAGGCAACGUAAUAAGUUUCCAUGCAGAAAUCUAGCAAAUCAGGAAACUACCUGAAUUUUAAAUUUUUCCUCUUUCUCUCAUAAUUAUCUAAAUUAUAAUCACAAGCAGAACUAAUGAAAUAGUAGUUUCCUUAGAACUGAGGUUAUACUGGGGGGAAAUGUAAAAUGUAUUAUACAUUUAUAUAGCAGCAUAAAGUAAAGAUGUGAUUUCUUCCCAUUGCCUUCACCUGAGGUUUUUUUUAUUUAUUUCCCUACGUAGUUUUUCUUAAAUUCAGAUUUCCACAUGGUCAGGACGUUCAAAACAAGUGUAUACUCAUGUACUGGGUAGAAUUAAUCAUCUAGUACAGCUGAGGAGAAUCUAAAUUGAGCUACUGAAUACCAAAUGUGGGAGGGGAGAAGGCAGCAAGAACAGCAACAGCUCAUCAUUCCUACGCAUCAUCCUCUUCAUGAUGCUGAGACUCAGCAGAUGGCAAGUGGGAUUCAGACAGCAGAUUUGGUGACAUGUCUCAACUAGUAAAGU